rnacentral:rRNA from 1 species
CGAGUUUGAUCAUGGCUCAGGAUGAACGCUGGCGGUAUGCCUAACACAUGCAAGUCGUACGAGAGUUUUUAACUCAAGUGGCGGACGGGUGAGUAACACGUGAGAAUUUGCCUUUAGGAGGGGGAUAACAGAGUGAAAACGCUGCUAAUACCCCAUAUGCUUUCUAGUGAAAUGGAUUUAUUCGCCUAAAGAGAAGCUCGCGGCUGAUUAGCUUGUUGGUAAGGUAAUGGCUUACCAAGGCGACGAUCAGUAUCUGGUUUGAGAGGACGAUCAGACACACUGGAACUGAGACACGGUCCAGGGAACUCUAGAAAGACUGCUGGUUAUAAACCGGAGGAAGGCGGGGAUGACGUCAAGUCAGCAUGCCCCUUACACCCUGGGCUACACACGUGCUACAUUGGGCGAGACAAUGAGACGCAAACCUGCGAAGGCUAGCUAAUCUAUAAACUCGUUCUAAGUUCGGAUUGUAGGCUGCAACUCGCCUGCAUGAAGGUGGAAUCGCUAGUAAUCGCUGGUCAGCAUACAGCGGUGAAUUCGUUCCCGGGCCUUGUACACACCGCCCGUCACACCAUGGAAGCUGGUUAUACCCGAAGUCGUUACUCUAACCGUUUGGAGGAGGAUGCCUAAGGUAGAAUUAGUGACUAGGGUGAAGUCGUAACAAGGUAACCGUACUGGAAGGUGCGGCUGGAUCACCUCCUU